rnacentral:lncRNA from 1 species
UAGACUACGGUUGGUGGCAGUAGUUGGUAGAUGCCGGUAGGUGACAUUGUAUCUUAGCCACCUACCAUGAUGGUAGGUGGGAUAGGGAAUGUAUAUAAGGAGGAUGUCACAUUGUGAAUCCUCACCUCACAACUUGUAAAGCAUUGAGUAGCAAUACAAGCAUAUAUUCUCCCAAACUUUCUUAACCGUUCUUACUAUGUUCUUGCUCUUGCGAUUGUUCUUUGCUUAGUUCGAUCUUGUAUUGUAAG